CCUACGGGAGGCAGCAGUGGGGAAUAUUGGACAAUGGGGGGAACCCUGAUCCAGCCAUGCCGCGUGUGUGAAGGAGGCCCUCGGGUUGUAAAGCACUUUCAGUGAGGAAGAACGCCUGGUGGUUAAUACCCAUCAGGAAAGACAUCACUCACAGAAGAAGCACCGGCUAACUCCGUGCCAGCAGCCGCGGUAAUACGGAGGGUGCGAGCGUUAAUCGGAAUUACUGGGCGUAAAGCGCGCGUAGGUGGCUUGAUAAGCCGGUUGUGAAAGCCCCGGGCUCAACCUGGGAACGGCAUCCGGAACUGUCAAGCUAGAGUGCAGGAGAGGAAGGUAGAAUUCCCGGUGUAGCGGUGAAAUGCGUAGAGAUCGGGAGGAAUACCAGUGGCGAAGGCGGCCUUCUGGACUGACACUGACACUGAGGUGCGAAAGCGUGGGUAGCAAACAGGAUUAGAUACCCCGGUAGUC
rnacentral:rRNA from 1 species